AUUCUUUUUUUUUAGUUUAUAAGUGUGAUGAUUAGGUUUUCACACUUGUGUGAGAUGUGCCUUCCUCAAACCUUGUUACAAUAUCUGCACAUUGCCCAUCGGACA
ensembl:snoRNA